CGGGGCGGCUGGCCGGCGCGCUGACUGCGGAGCGGAGAGGCCGGAGGAUGGACUUGCCCGGGGCUGCUCGCCUUCUCUCUCUGCUGCUGGUGCCGCUGCUGCUGGGCCCUGCGCGCGGCCUGCGCAAUGCUUCCCAGAGGACGUUCAAGAUCGACUACAGCCACAACCGCUUCCUCAAGGAUGGCCAGCCGUUCCGCUACAUCUCGGGGAGCAUUCACUACUUUCGGGUGCCCCGCUUCUACUGGAAGGACCGGCUCCUGAAAAUGAAGAUGGCCGGGCUGAACGCCAUCCAGACGUACGUGCCCUGGAACUUUCACGAGCCCCAGCCAGGACAGUACCAGUUUUCUGGGGAACAUGAUGUGGAAUAUUUUCUCAAGCUGGCCCAUGAGCUGGGACUGCUGGUUAUCCUGAGGCCCGGACCCUACAUCUGUGCAGAGUGGGACAUGGGAGGAUUGCCGGCUUGGCUGUUAUUAAAAGAGUCGAUUAUUCUCCGUUCUUCUGAUCCAGAUUACCUUGCAGCCGUGGACAAGUGGUUGGGAGUCCUUCUGCCCAAGAUGAAGCCUCUCCUCUAUCAGAACGGAGGGCCCAUUAUAACCGUGCAGGUUGAAAACGAAUACGGCAGCUACUUCACCUGUGACUACGACUACCUGCGCUUCCUGCAGCGGCGCUUCCGCGACCACCUGGGCGGUGACGUGCUUCUGUUCACCACCGACGGGGCGCAGGAGAAGUUCCUGCAGUGCGGGGCGCUGCAGGGGAUCUACGCCACCGUGGACUUCGGCCCAGAUGCCAACAUCACCGCUGCUUUCCAGAUCCAGAGAAAGAGUGAGCCCAGAGGACCGUUGGUGAAUUCUGAAUUCUAUACUGGCUGGUUAGACCACUGGGGCCAACCUCACUCAAGAGUGAGGACUGAAGUGGUAGCUUCCUCCCUCCAUGACGUACUUGCCCAUGGGGCGAAUGUGAACUUGUACAUGUUUAUAGGUGGGACCAAUUUCGCUUAUUGGAAUGGGGCCAACAUCCCCUACCAACCACAGCCCACCAGCUACGACUAUGACGCCCCACUGAGUGAGGCAGGGGACCUCACUGACAAGUAUUUUGCUCUGCGGGACGUUAUCCGGAAGUUUGAAAAAGUACCAGAAGGUUUUAUCCCUCCAUCUACACCCAAGUUUGCAUAUGGAAAAGUUGCUCUGCAAAAGUUAAAGACGGUGGAGGACGCUCUGAACGUUCUGUGUCCUGCUGGGCCCAUAAAAAGCCUUUAUCCGUUGACGUUUAUCCAGGUGAAACAGUAUUUUGGUUUCGUGCUAUACCGAACAACGCUUCCUCAAGACUGCAGCAACCCCACACCCCUGUCAUCACCCCUCAAUGGAGUCCGUGACCGCGCCUAUGUCGCCGUGGACGGGGUGCCCCAGGGAGUCCUGGAGCGAAGUUACGUGAUCACUCUGAACAUAACAGGGCAAGCCGGAGCCACUCUGGACCUUCUGGUGGAGAACAUGGGGCGUGUGAACUAUGGCAGAUACAUCAAUGAUUUCAAGGGUCUUAUUUCUAACCUGACCCUCGGUUCCAGUGUCCUCACGGACUGGAUGAUCUUCCCGCUGGACACCGAGGAUGCAGUGCGCAGCCAUCUGGGAGGCUGGCAUGGCCGUAACCGUGGCCGUCAGGAUAACAAAGCCUUUGCCCACCACUCGUCCAACUACACACUCCCGGCCUUUUACGCGGGGAACUUCUCUAUUCCCAGCGGGAUCCCAGACUUGCCCCAGGACACCUUUAUCCAGUUUUCUGGAUGGACCAAGUUACCGACAACUUAGAAAAUGAGACUCCAGAACUGUGCCCACUUGCGAGCUUCGGGAAGAAAUGUGAGACGGUUCCUUGUGAAGCAUUGUGGAUGUUGCCCUUCUUCGGCGGAGAGAUUCUAUCGCUGAAGUCCUUGGUCUUUGAACCCGAAAAGUCCCCAAGAUCCAUUCUUUAUGGAAAUGUCGUUCAUCUCCAAUGUGCUCACAGAAGUGCUUACAGCCGGCAUCUCUCUGCUUAAUCCCGGACAGCCAUUCCUUCGUUCAUUCAUUCCCUCGUUCAUUCAACUAUCACACCUCAGGUACAACAUGAAUGGAAGUGGCAACAGCAGACAUACUUGUCUUGUUCCUGAUCUUCUGAAGGAGAAGGCAUUCAGUCCUUCACCAUGAAGUAUGAUGGUAUGAACAUUCUAGAAUAGAGCUUUUUAUAGACUGAGAUCUACUGAGAUCUUCAUUUCACUUGGCGAAAUGCCUAGGUGUAGACUCCCUGGAUUGCACGGUAGGUAUACGUUCAACUUUCAAAUAAGUGUCCGUUUGUUUUCCCAAAGUAGCUCUUGUAUGGAACCAUCUCUUUUUUUUUUUUUAAUGUUUGUUUAUUUUUGAGACAAAGAGAGAACACAAGCUGGGGAGGAGCAGAGAGAGAAGGAGACACAGAAUCCGAAGCAGGCUCCAGACUCCGCGCUGUCAGCACAGAGCCCGACACGGGGCUCGAACUCACGAACCGUGAGAUCAUGACCUGAGCCAAAGUCAGACACUCAACCGACUGAGCCACCCAGGCGCCUCCAAAACCAUCUUUUGAAUCUCUCUUGUUGCAUGUUAUCUGUCGUCUCGAGAGUCGGGGACUGCCAUUGCCUUGGCCCGCCAUCCCCCUCCGUGGCUGAGGAGCUCUCGGCGGCCACGUCCUACACUGAGGAUGAUUUCCACUGCCCUGUUGGUCAGCAGGUGCACAAAGCACCCGCAAGGAUCCGGCCGGUCAGCAAGUUUUCUGUAGAAAAUGUUUCCUGACUGCAGUGAGAGAAAGCGGAACACAUUGUCCCCUCUGUCGUGGAAGUGUGACUGGAAGAGAGAGAGAGAGAGACUGCUUGUCCUGAAUGGGCCAUAGACCUUCAAAUUGUCAUGAGGAAGUUUUCCGGUAGCUGCAGAUACUGUGCAAACCAGAUUAAAUUCUGAGACAUGAGACAUCGUUGCAUAUCUGUGCUGCAGGGUCCUGAUGAUCAUGGAGUAGCAGAACAGCAUGGUGCCCAAGGGGAUCACCAACCCCAGGAUGUUGAUCUCCAGGGAGCUCAGCACCUUCCACCUCGUGGAGUUGAGAGAGUGCUUGGUUUUGCAGUAGGUGUGGUUGCGCUCCGUGUAACAGGUGCUGAAUAAGAAGCCAGGAAGAGAGGCCAGCACGGCCACGGACCACGUGGCCAAGCUGGUGAUGACCCCGUAAGUCAAGGUCCUCGCUCUCAAGGAAAACACCGCGUGCACUAUCGCCAGGUAUCUGUCGAUGCUCAUGAGCAUGACGAAGAAGAUGCCACUGUAAAAGCCCACCAAGUACAUCCAGGAAAUAAUCUUGCAGAGACCCAGUCCAAAAACCCACUGGUCUGCAGCAUAGUAGCCCCAGAAAGGGAGGGAGAACACGAAGAGCAGGUCUGAGAUGGCGAGGUUGAGCAGGUACACGUCAGUCAUGGACUUGAGCCUCUUGUACUUGAACAAGACCAAAACUACCACAGAAUUGCCCAGGAGACCGAACAGAAAGACCAAGGAGUAGAGAGGGGGCAGGAAGAGCCCCCCGAACGCCUUGACGCCUUCUUUGGUGCAAGGCUUGGGGAUGUUUUCAUAGAGAUAGUAAUUGUGAUAGAUGCUUUCAUCCAUGGUGGUGUCUGCUGUGUCCGUGGGGUUCAUUUUCAAAUCUCCAGGCUCCUCGACGCAGGUCUGAGCCCAACCAGAAGCUAAUGAGGGAAGAGCAGACGCAAUCUCUGUAGGAACAAAAGCAAAUCGAAAAGGUGCUGACUACGGAGCAUAGUGCUGAGUAUUGUGCCCCGGCUCAUGACACCCCCUUCCCAGCCUUCCCAAGUUGAAGGGCUCUGUUCCUCGCAGGGCAGUGCAGCCAAAUAAAACAACCCUGCUGUUUGGAGUUAGCAGAUUCCAAGUCCUAGCUCUGUCACUCCCCUCCUGCUCCUGGAGGGGGGGGGGGGGGGGGCGGGCUUGAAUCCCCACGCUUGUACAUGGGGACAGUAAAACCUCCUUCUCAAGGAGGCGUUUUCAAGGAUGCAUUUCGAAACGAUAGUCUGGGGUUACUGAAUCAUCUGCAGGACCACUGAGAUUCCCAACAGCCCCACACCCAUAGCCGUCUUAGUGACUUAAAAGCAAAACAAAAAACAGAAAGAUUGAAAAUCUGUGCAUGUUUCCCCUUCACAUUAGAACUCCAAAAAUUCAGUAAUUGCUUAGGUAAUCAUUGGGCUAGAAGGGUGGCUCGGAUUUUAUAUAAAAAUUCCAAUUCCUCCUGCAAGCUUGACGUACAUUUCAAAGCGUGCUCCCUGGUAUUGUGCAUUUAAUCCCACUCCCCUGCUCCUGCCCGCCCCCCACCGCACUCCCAACAAAGUCGGGUGCUCUAAGCCAAGCAAGUGUACUGAGCCACAGUGCAGGUGCCUCACGAAAGCUUCAGAGAGGUUAAGCGACUUCUGAAGGCCACACAGUUGCAUGCAGAGCUCGUUCUUUGGUCCCCAGAUCCCAGUGACGUGCCGGCACACCAUGUCCGGGGAGGUCAGGAGGGGGCUCUGACUUCUGGUGCUUGCUGGUGUCUCUCAUGCAAACACUUGCCCCAGGGCGAAACCCCAGCCACCAACGGCCUCGCGAAAUUCCCGAAUCUCUAACAGCCUUUACCAGCCCCUGGGAGCCGGUGCAAGUCGGCUCUGGUACGCGCUCCCAGGUCCCACGCCACCCUAGAACGCCAUCUCCGAUGGGAACGCGCCUGGCCUCCCGGGCCUGGUGGCGAGCUGCUCCCGGGCCAGUCGGACGCUAACGCAGCAGAUGCGUGUAGAAGGCCCCGCGAAUGCGGGAGCACUCAGGUAAUUGCGCCCUACUCAGACGGCAACGCGAGGCCGUCUUUUCGUCAAUGCCGCACGCAAAAAAUCAGUCCCGCGCACUGAAUCCUAGCACAGUGGGAAUCAGCCUGACAGAUCUCGAGAAGGCACAUCACGGCCAGAAAUGAAAUCUCUCUGCUUCCCCAAACACCCUCCUUUCCUAUGCGAAUUGGCAGGUGAAGAGGCUGAGACCUUCUUAAAGUUACAUGCAUGCUCACAUGCGGAUCAGAGCAAUUUAGGGAUGACGGGCUUUCUGACUCAAGGCUACUCCUCUUCCUUUUUUUUUUUUUUUUGUAAGGAUUUUAUUUUUUUUUAAG